GAUGAACGCUGGCGGCGUGCCUAAUACAUGCAAGUCGAGCGCGAUCAUGAGGAGCUUGCUCCUCAUGAUCGAGCGGCGGACGGGUGAGUAACACGUAGGCAACCUACCCUUGAGAUUGGGAUAACUACCGGAAACGGUAGCUAAUACCGGAUACGACUUUUCCACAUAAGUGGAAUGGUUAAAAGGCGGAUUUAUCUGCCGCUCAUGGAUGGGCCUGCGGUGCAUUAGCUAGUUGGUGAGGUAGUGGCUCACCAAGGCGACGAUGCAUAGCCGACCUGAGAGGGUGAUCGGCCACACUGGGACUGAGACACGGCCCAGACUCCUACGGGAGGCAGCAGUAGGGAAUCUUCCGCAAUGGACGAAAGUCUGACGGAGCAACGCCGCGUGAGUGAUGAAGGGUUUCGGCUCGUAAAACUCUGUUGUUAAGGAAGAACACUUGAGGUAGUAACUGGCCUUGAGAUGACGGUACUUAACCAGAAAGCCACGGCUAACUACGUGCCAGCCGCCGCCGUAA
rnacentral:rRNA from 1 species